GAAUUUUGGACAAUGGGGGCAACCCUGAUCCAGCCAUCCCGCGUGUGCGAUGAAGGCCUUCGGGUUUUAAAGCACUUUUGGCAGGGAAGAAAAGGCUCUGGCUAAUACCUGGAGCUGCUGACGGUACCUGCAGAAUAAGGCCCGGCCAACCACGUGCCCGCAGCCGCGGUAAAACUGAGGGUGCAAGUGUUAAUCGGAAUUACUGGGCGUAAAGCGUGCGCAGGCGGUUCGGCAAGAAGGAUGUGAAAUCCCAGGGCUUAACCUUGGAACUGCAUUCUUAACUGCCGGGCUAGAGUAUGUCAGAGGGGGGUAGAAUUCCGCGUGUAGCAGUGAAAUGCGUAGAGAUGCGGAGGAAUACCGAUGGCGAAGGCAGCCCCCUGGGACAAUACUGACGCUCAUGCACGAAAGCGUGGGGAGCAAAC
rnacentral:rRNA from 1 species